rnacentral:rRNA from 1 species
AGCUCCAAUAGCGUAUAUUAAAGUUGUUGCAGAUAAAAAGCUCGUAGUUGGAUUUCGGAAUGGGUCAGUUGGUCCGCCUCACGGUGUGUUACUGACUGGUCUGUUCUUCUUCGCAAAGACUGUGUAUUCUCUUCACUGAGUGUGCUCAGGAUUUACGACGUUUACUUUGAAAAAAUUAGAGUGUUCAAAGCAGGCCUACCGCUUGAAUACAUGAGCAUGGAAUAAUGGAAUAGGACUUUGGUCUUAUUUUGUUGGUUUCUAAGACCGAAGUAAUGAUUAAGAGGGACAGUUGGGGGCAUUAGUAUUUCGUUGUCAGAGGUGAAAUGCUUGGAUUUACGAAAGACUAACAACUGCGAAAGCAUUUGCCAAGAAUGUUU